AAUAUUAGUUGGUAGAAGUUGCCAACAAACGGGUAAGCACUAUCGUCGUUGCUAUCCGCAAACCCCGCCAAAUAGGCUCACAAAAAGCAUGCUCCUCCGCACCGCUCUCUCGUUUGCACUACCGCCGCCCAGCCAUUCCGACCUUCGUCUUCAAGUUCCUGUUCCUCGCGAUGGUUCCACAUUCUCAGGAUAAGUGUAUUUGCUUCAAGAUAUUCUUCUCUCUUUUGCUCUGUUCCUCGAGCGGCUCUGGCAAUUUGCGGUGGAGAUACCUAAUCUUCGAUCGAUCAAUUUCGGUCGCAAUCAAGUCCAAAUUCACGGAUCUAAUUUUUUAAUCACGAAAUUUCCUAUUCGAUUACGCAUUCACUCAUCAGAUCAAAGUUUAUCGCGUAGGGGAAAGCGAUAGCGAUGCCUCCGUGCGAUUGUCAUUCGUAGCGGCAGCCAAAGCAAUAGUUCGAGGCGGCUUCGAUGUCUUCGUUCCGAGCGUUCCGAGCGUUCCUCAACAGUCCUGUUGGCCCUAAAACAACUCAUUUUUGGGGACCUGCUGCAAACUUCGGUUUCGUGGUUGCUGGGCUGGCAGAUGUGAAAAAGCCAGCCGAUAAGAUAUCCGGCAAAAUGACGGCAGUUUUGUGCGUCUAUUCGCUGUCUGGCAUGAGAUUUGGAUAUAUGGUUCGGCCUCGGAAUUAUCUGCUUAUGGGAUGCCAUGCCGCGAAUGAAACUGUUCAGCUCUAUCUUCUCUCCCGUUGGGCGAUGGGAACGAGGAAGAGUGUCAAUUACAGCAACGAGUAGCUUCCUCUUCGUUUCAAUGGCGGUAUGAAUAUGAUUACUCCAUUGUUGCUGUUUCGAGUUACUGUUUCGAAUUACUGUUUCUUAUGUGUUACCCCAAUACGAAUCCCCAAUAAACAAUGUUGGUAAUCAAUGUUUUCUAUCACUAAGUUAGAAAAUUAAUCCUAAACAAACCAAUGAAUCAAAUCUGUUUAAAUAG